AUUGGACUGACGGGCUUUUAUGCAACAAGAGGAUUCUUAUGGUGAAGGUGCAGUGGAUACACCACACACUAGAAGAGGUAACAUGGGAGUUGGAGAGAGAAAUGCAAGAGAAGUUUCCUUACUUAUUCAUGACAAAUUUGGGGGACCAAAUUUUCCAAGGUGGGGGGAAUGUAACACCCCAAAAACCUUCGUGCUUAAUUUUUAAUGUGAAC
rnacentral:lncRNA from 1 species